rnacentral:rRNA from 1 species
UGCACCUACGGGAGGCAGCAGUGAGGAAUAUUGGUCAAUGGGCGAGAGCCUGAACCAGCCAAGUCGCGUGAGGGAGUACUGCCCUAUGGGUUGUAAACCUCUUUUGUCGGGGAGCAAAAGCCGGACGUGUCCGUCUGUGAGAGUACCCGAAGAAAAAGCAUCGGCUAACUCCGUGCCAGCAGCCGCGGUAAUACGGAGGAUGCAAGCGUUAUCCGGAUUUAUUGGGUUUAAAGGGUGCGUAGGCGGGCUGUUAAGUCAGCGGUCAAAUGUCGGGGCUCAACCCCGGCCUGCCGUUGAAACUGGCG